AGGAUGAACGCUGGCGGCGUGCCUAACACAUGCAAGUCGAGCGGGAUUUUCCGGAUUGAAGCUUCGGUAGAUUGAAGGAAAUGAGAGCGGCGGACGGGUGAGUAACGCGUAGGCAACCUGCCCUUUGCAGAGGGAUAGCCAUUGGAAACGAUGAUUAAAACCUCAUAAUACCAUGAAGCGACAUCGCUUUAUGGUCAAAGAUUUAUCGGCAAAGGAUGGGCCUGCGUCUGAUUAGCUGGUUGGUGAGGUAACGGCUCACCAAGGCGACGAUCAGUAGCCGACCUGAGAGGGUGAUCGGCCACAUUGGAACUGAGACACGGUCCAAACUCCUACGGGAGGCAGCAGUGGGGAAUAUUGCACAAUGGGCGAAAGCCUGAUGCAGCAACGCCGCGUGAGCGAAGAAGGCCUUCGGGUUGUAAAGCUCUGUCCUUAGGGAAGAUAAUGACGGUACCUGAGGAGGAAGCCCCGGCUAACUACGUG
rnacentral:rRNA from 1 species